UUUUUUUUUUUUUUUUUUUCUUCUGGUAGACUUUUGUGGCAGAAGUUUCACAUUGAUGAUUUUAGAUUGUGUAUCAAGUUACAAUAUUAAACAAUGUAAGACAUACGGAUACUGCUAUAAUUUUCUCUCCUGUGUUAAAAUCUGUUCUGCACUUUCUUGGGCUCCAUUAUCUAGGCACCACGGUGAUAUAACACUUAUUCAUGAUGUCUUAAUAAAUUGGUUCAAUUGAAAUUCUAAAGAAAAUAUAAUACAAACUUCUCUGGUAAGGUCUGGUCAGGCAGUUUCCGUUAGCAAAGCUAUAGUUUAGUUGAAGAACUUAGUAAAAACUGCUCAAAGUCAACUUGGAAACUAAGUCCGUGCAGACUUCUGUAAAAUCCUCUGAGAUUUGCAUAAAGGAAGAAGAAGUAAAGUGAUCAAAGUGAAAAUUCUCUUUGCUGAAACCAUUUCAGUACUCUUCAAUGUGGAGCAGGAGAACAGUGAUCAAUGAGCAAUGUCUUGGUAAUUUAGUAGCUACUUUCACUACUUAGAGCUGCGAAUCUAACUUUCUGAGGGUAAUUCAACCAAAGCUGCAAAAUGGUCUCAUAGCAACAAAAAUAUGUUCAGGCACUUUCUGUACCUGGUGCAAUAAAACAGAAAGGUAUUUUCUUUUAGAGACAUAUAUUUCAUUCUGUUUCAUUAUUAAAACUAGGUUGUUUAUACUUCAACUUACAUGUCAAGGAAAAUGCAUCUGGGAUGUGAAUAGGCAGUGGGAGGACAGCUGAGAGUCUCUUACUUCAUAUCAUGUCCUGCCAGGCUGUCUCCCUCUUUCUGCUAAAAAAAGUGGAAAUAGCAACAGGCCAACAAUCUAGAAUUUUUAAUUAAUCUUGUUGUUGUUGUUAUUAAAUCAGGGAUGGGAAUUUUCUAUUUCCUCAACUUUCAGACACGUGAAGAAUCUCUCACAUGAACUGCGAUUUAUUUGCCAUAUACCAGACAUUUGUGCUUCCUCUCUAGAAGGCAAGGCUCUCCUACACAGGUCUCAUGUGUACAUAUUCCAUGUAGCUAUCUCAGGUACACUAGGACCUUUACAAUAUUUAAUUAGUUCAACUGCACCUAUAAGAUCAAGGUGCCUGUAAUCAGCUGAAUUGCUUUUAGAGUGUUAGUAGCAUCAGUACUACAGCAGAAAAACAAAAUGUGAGGCUUAAAUUGCUCUCCUUUCUUCUCAGAGUAAUCACAGAGUAAAUCUUCACAGACUAAAUCACAGAGUUCUUCAUCCCAGGAUACCUAAAUAUACACAACAUUAAUAACAGAUGUAUUUAAUCUGAAUAUGAAAUGUCAAAAUGCUACAAAAACAGUAAAUAGACUAUGCUCAACGAUGUGGACAUCUUGGCUUCAGUGAUAGCACUGAAACAUCAAGUCUCAUCUAAAAUCUGAGAGGCAGUCACAGGUAGGAACAAGUAGCUAUGAAAUGAGAAAUGUUUGUCAUUAUGCUAACUGUAAAAAGUAUAGAGUUCAGACUAGACAUAGGCUAAAAUGCAGGAUGCAAUUUAAAAACAGAGAAAUUAGCUGACAUCCUAUCUGGGAUACAAAAAUGUCUGAUAUGCUCCAUUAAAACAAAAGUUUUUUUGUGAGAAUAGUCAUUUACAAUUUCACUAAGGCUUUAUUUUAUUUCAGAAGGGCCCUAUUAAAAUGACUAAAGACACCUGAAUGGCUUUAUAUGUAUUAUAUAUGAACAUGAAAAGUAAAAUAAGUUCAAUAAGAACAACUACAAAACCAAACUUGGUGAAAUUGUGCACUUAAAAAAUAAAUGCUUCCCAACCAUUUUCUUUCACUUUUUUUUGAGUAUUCCAACAAGGGAACUUUAAUACACUUCACAUAAAUGGAACGUAAAUGUUAUUCUUGGAUAAUUAAAGAUUGAUUGACAGAGCAUGUAAGAAAUGCAUACAGACUCAAGAACAAGGAUUUUUAGACCAUAAUGCAGUUGUUGAUGAUUGAUUAACUGAAUUGGAAAAUCAGGGAAAAUAGGCUGCGCCACUCGUGAAUUAUAAUCAGAGAAUCACAGAAUUGUUGGGGCUGGAAGGGACCUCCAGAGAUCAUUGAGUCCAACCCUCCCUGCAAAGCAGGCCCCCUACAGAAGGUUGCACAGGUAGACAUCCAGAGAAGGAGAAUCUACAACCUCCUCAGGCAGCUCAUUACACUGCUCCAAUAAUUAUCCUCACAGAAUUGUUCAGAAGUAAUUUCAUGCUACUCCACUAAUUUAAUUUGUUUCCUCAGAUUAAACUGAAGCUUAAGUGUCUACCUGUUCAAUUCCUCACCAUUUGUAAGAGACUCAGUUAACGUUUCUACAUUAUAAAACUACUGAUUAUGUUGACCUUCUACAUGUUGACUCUGACUUGAAUUCUUUAUGUAAUAUAAAGCUCACUGAAAAUUAACUGGAUAUUUAUGUUGUUAGAGAGCUACAUCAGGUGCUCUAGUUACUUGCUGCAUCAUUUCUUUUACUAAUUUUCACAGGAUCUAUAAAUCCUGUGGCCUACUUUCUGAAACUUGGGAAAGAAAAAUAAAAUUGCAAGUUUCUGUAUGAAUAAUCAUUUAUUUCAUCCUACAUCUUGGCAAUUUCACCAAAGAAUGGACUAUCCAAAUGGUCACAUGGAGAAGAUUAUGGCAGCCUCCUUCCUUGGGGCCUUCAAUUGAAAUCAAAAGUAUUUUAAAGUCUUUUUGGUGACAAAGUCAUUAGAAGUCUUUUUGUUGCAAAUGAGUAGAUAUACUCAUAUCAUACUCAUAUUAACAAAAUUGUGCAAUGAGAUUUUUCUGAGAGAAAACUCAUCCUGCUUCUUUAUCUGGGAUGGUGCCAUUUAAUCCACAUAACUCUCAGUAUCUCUGCAAAAAUGAAGAAUUAGAUUGUAUAAUUUGUUUUAGACUACUGUAUUAUAUAGCAAUCAAAAGUUACUGAUAAUCCAAAUCUACAUAGAAACAAAAUUUAUAAUGUGUAACUGAUAAUAACUUCACACUUCAGACUCCCAUAUACCAAUAAAAUUAAUGUAAAUCAUGCAGACUCUUAAACACAUGACUGUUUUGUGCAUUAAAAUGGCAUCCAGGCAUAAAAGAUAUAAUAUAAAAUGGUCCUACUUGGGUGUUGGAGCUACAUUAUGGAAAAUGAAUGUUCCUAUUAAGAUAAUUUCUCUAUAUUUUGUUCAUUACUUUUUCCAGUUUUGUUCAUGAUCUAUAAAUUAAUGGCACAAUUGACUUACUUCUCAAAUACUAUUUCUAAUGAAGACUAGUGAGAAGAAAAAGGAUGCAACCAUGAACAACCUUGUUCUUACAUGCUUUAAAUUUUGACUACUGGAAAAAGCUUAAUUUUUGUUAAGGUACUAUGAGUAUCAUUUUUUUUGAGUCUUACCGUUCAGGGGAGGAAAAAACAAACAAACAAAGAAGCAAACAAAAAAACACAGGCAAAUAUGAAAUAUUAUUAUGAAGUCCCUGAGCUUAAUUUCUUAAUAAAAUUUCAUCAGAAAACACAGACAGGAAUCACAGGCUAAGAUAUUCCUUAAAAAUCUUGAAAAAUUGAAAAGGCAAUUAAAUUUUCUAUAUGUAUGAAAAGUAUAGUGUUUAUAGAUGAUACAUAUUUUAAAAUACAGUAGUUUCACUGAGCUCAAAACAGUCUUGCAUUUAUGAAAUUCCAGACUGCUAGGAUAGACAUUAUACUGUAAGUAACACUGGUAAUGUUAGACUAAAGUUUGAGAACUCUUUAGGAAAAAGAUGCCUUGUCACCAAAUAGCAUCAAAGACAAUGGAAUAGUUAGAACUAAUUUUUCUUAAUAAAAAAACAUGGAAUAUAAAACCAUAAGAAAUUCUUCCAAUUAUUCUUAAAUUGAUCUAGAAAUGAUGUAAUCAUUUUCAAAUAUAUUUUUUCAAACUGAAACUACAUUUAAUUCACAGCUAGAACUUCUUUAAUUUUCUUCACCAAGCCAUACUUUUCACACUUUAGAAUGAGAACAAUAAUAUAUUUCAGCUGGAUUUCUUUAUGCAGAAACUGAAUAAUAUUAGCAAAACUUUGUCUAAAGUUGCAUUGCUUUAUUUUUUUUACAUGGGUAUCUCUGUUUAUUUUAAAUGGUUUUCAUAGCAGGAUAAAAAAAGUUAUCUGAAUAUUAAGUUUAAAGUCAGAUUACUGACAUUUGUCCCUGUACAGAACUAAAAUUCAAAGGCAAAUCUGACUUGCUAUUUCUCAGCUAAACAUUUCAUCCAUUUGAUGAUUGAGGAUAGGAAAUUGUUCCUGCUUCGUUACAAUCUUUAUCAGUUGUACUUCUUGCAAUUGCACUAUCUAUCUCAAUAAACCAAGCAGUAGUGUCAGGGAAAAAAAAAAAAAAAAA
ensembl:lncRNA